UACAGAGGGGACAAGCGUUGUUCGGAAUUACUGGGCGGAAAGGGCGCGUAGGCGGCCUUCUAAGUCGAACGUGAAAUCCCUGGGCUCAACCCAGGAACUGCGUCCGAUACUGGGAGGCUUGAAUCCGGGAGAGGGAUGCGGAAUUCCAGGUGUAGCGGUGAAAUGCGUAGAUAUCUGGAGGAACACCGGUGGCGAAGGCGGCAUCCUGGACCGGUAUUGACGCUGAGGCGCGAAAGCCAGGGGAGCAAACGGG
rnacentral:rRNA from 1 species